rnacentral:rRNA from 1 species
CAAGAGCGUAUAUUAAAGUUGUUGCAGUUAAAAAGCUCGUAGUUGGAUUUCUGGUUCUAUGCGCCUGGCCCGCGGCAGUAAUGCCUGUGAGUGCCGGUGCGCGUAGGCCAUCCUUCUAGAAAACGUCUCUACCGUUAACUCGGCUGGAUUCGCGAUCUAGAUCUUUUUACUUUGAAAAAAUUAGAGUGUUCAAAGCAGGCUUUUGCUGUGAAUACAUUAGCAUGGAAUAAUAAUCUAGGACUUCGGUUCUAUUUUGUGGUUUCUAGAAUUGAAGUAAUGAUUGAUAGGGAUAGUUGGGGGUGCUAGUAUUGGCCGGCCAGAGGUGAAAUUCUUGGAUUCGGUCAAGACUAACUUAUGCGAAAGCAUUCACCAAGGAUGUCUUCUUUAAUCAAGAACGAAAGUUGGGGAUCGAAGACGAUUAGAUACCA